rnacentral:lncRNA from 1 species
CUUGUGUUUCUUCCAGUCCAGCGUUUCUCAUGAUGUACUCUGCAUGUAAGGUAUUCUAAAGCUGUAGGAGGUGGAUCACAGGCUUUAUAUUUUUAUUAUUUAUUUUCUAUAACUUAAAUAUCAUAUUACUGGUAUGUAUGUUUGUCUCUCCACUAGGCCAUGCACUCUUCAGGGGCCAGGUUCACUACUCACCUUUAUAUUUCCAUCCAGGAUUCCAUAUUUCCAGUGCAUGGAAGGUGUGGCAUAAACAUUUGCUGAAUGAAAUACAAUUUCCUUAAGUAUAAGAAGCAGAGAAGAGAGUGUAGCCAAUACACUAAAAAUGACUUUAAAGCUCUAUCAGCUUUAGCACGACUGAAAAAUACCCAGAACACUUCUUUUUAGCUUCUUGUAGUACUGUUCCUUGGAAGUGAUAUGUGUUUGACAAAUAUGUUUUCAAUUUAAUUAAGCAGAUUUUAUUCAGAGUAAUAUCCUGGCCAAAUGCUUAGAAAUCAUGAACCUGAACUAAUUACAAUCACAAAGGAUGGCUUGUGUAUGAAAUAUCUGAAGGUGAGGAACAAUGAAAUCCCUAUCACAAAGGCAAUAAAGAUAUUCAAAGAGUACAUGAAAUCCUUUCACAUUUUUUGUGAUACUAGGUUAAAAUGCAAGCAGUGGUUAAAAGUUAUAGGAAUUGGGGAAUACUUAGAAAAUACAUGUUUAAAACAGAAAAUUGGUAACUGCAAAGGAGGCAGUGAGCUAUUAACUUAUCAUUUGGCACUCCAGAUUUCAACAGUGUUUAAAGCAAAAUUAAAGGCUGCUGUGAUUUGUAAUUACCAUGUUUAGUUGACAAUGUAAACACUCAAGUUGCCUAAAGCUCAGCAAUGAUUUUGAGAUUCUUUUCUGUUGAUAUUGUUCUCUUCAGAGUCUAUAUGAGGCAGGAGGCAGAUGGGCUCCCCAGGGUAAAGCAAUCUACUCUACCCCAGUGUAAAGCAGAGAUUCAUUCUCUACUGACCAAGACGCCAAGACAAGAAUAGCAGGGCAAUCAGAGGGAGGAGAGUGGACCCUGCACAGACCACGUGUUUCUCGUCCCAAGGUCAGGAGACCCUCCCUGGCCUCAUAUGCACAUAAAAGGCUCCUUUGCUGUUCUACCCAGAUGCCUGUUUGGUAGGAUUCAUCUUGGCUAAGAUGCGUGCACACACAUGGGAAGAUCCUGAAAUAGACAGAAUAUGGACUGUGAACCCAGGCAAAUCGAAAUGAGUGGCCAGAGGAAAUCUGGAAGAAAUGCCGCACAUAAGUGAUUUAAACUGCCACCAGGGCACAACUCGGGGACUCUGUCUCUGAGUCUGCCCAUAUGUCUAUCCAUACGUACUGUACUUUUCCUCCUAAUAAAUACGUGCUUCACCACUUUCUGUCUUGUGGAAGUUCUUUUCUGCAGCGCCAAAGGGCCGGGGCCCUUGUCACUAACUGCUGGUCUAGUCCCUGGGAUCUGGUGCUUUCGCUGCUGUGACCCAGCCUCCAUCUCUGGUUGGGAGCCCCAGCCGUGCUCCAAGGCAUUGCAGGCCCAGGCCACCCAAGAUCAUAUCUAGACUGAAGUCAACAGUUUCUGACUGUCUUUUUGUGUGUGGUUUGUUCAGAACUAUGUUGUUCUGAAAUCCUACUAAGACUUAUGUAAUUGUCUAUAUUUUUAAAAAUAAGAUAGAAAUUAUUGAAAACUAUAAGGAUUUCAUGAGCAUCUUUUUAUCCUUUUGGAUUAGAAAAGUCAUGAAGAGUGCUUGUAGAAACUCGGGAAAUUCAGAAAAGCAGAAAGAAGGAAGUGAACAGCCAGCAGUUACUGCAUUCUGCCUUUAACUCACCACAGUCUUUCUCUCGUUUGGAUUACUGUAAUAGCUUCCUAACUGGUUCCCCUGCUGUAAUCUCUACCCACCCCAGAAGGAAUCCUGCCAAGAUGUUAAUCAGAUCAUGUCAUUCCUUAGUUCAGAAGUUCCAGUAUUUCCCACAUCACUUAGGAUAAAGGCCAAAGUCCUUAAAAAGGCCAGUGAAGCCCUAUUUGACAACCUUCCUCCCCCGACCUCCUCACCCCACCCCUGAACCCUGAAUGCUUUCUUACUUCUGUGCCUGGAGUGCUCACCCUCUAAAUAUCUGUAAAGCUCCUCCCUCUCCUCUUUGAAUGUGUGUUCAGUCACUCAGUCAUAUCUAACCCAUGGUGACCCCGUGGACUGUAGCCCACCAAGCUCCUCUGCCCAUGGGAUUUUCCAGCAAGAAUACUGGAGUGGGUUCCUAUUUCCUCCUCCAAGGGAUCUUCCCGACCCAGAGAGCGAAACGCACCCCGCAGCCCACCCUCCGUCAACUCCCACCCAACUCCUGCGUCUCCUGGAUUGGCAGGCAGAUUCUUCGCCUCUGUGCCACCCGGGAACCUCUUUCCUGUCUUCUCUCAUACGCCCUUGAUUUCAGUGAGGGCUUCAUGACUGCCUCUGUAAAAUUCCAAGGCCUCCCACAUCCCUGCCCUCCUUCUCCACCAUCUAUUAUCACCACAUAGCAUCCCAUAUGUUUGUUUACUUUGCCUAUUACCCGUCUCCUCCUGCUAGAAUGUGAGCUCCAUAAAGGCAAAGCAUUUUAUCUGAUUUUAUGUGCUGCUGUAUUAGUUCUCUAAAGCAUAAUGAAUCACUCCAAAAUUGAGUNNNNNNNNNNNNNNNNNNNNNNNNNNNNNNNNNNNNNNNNNNNNNNNNNNNNNNNNNNNNNNNNNNNNNNNNNNNNNNNNNNNNNNNNNNNNNNNNNNNUAGUUCUCUAAAGCAUAAUGAAUCACUCCAAAAUUGAGUUGCUCAAAAUAAGAGUCUUCAUUUAUUUUCUCAUGAUUUCAGUGGGCUUGGAAUUUGUGAGAGGCUUAGCUUGAUGGUUCUGGCCCAGGGUCUUUCACGAGAUUCAGUUAGAUAUCGGCCGAGGCUCCAGGCAUCUGAGGGCUUGGCUGAGACUGGAGGGUUUUCUUGCAAAGCAACUCACAUGGCAGCAAGCUGGUGCUGGCUAUUGCCAGGUUGCCCCAAAUCCCCUCCUGAACUUCUCUGCUGGACUGCUUCAGUGUCCUCUGCUGUGGAAGUGGGCUGGUCCCAGACUGAAUGACCCAAGAAAGCCAGGAGAAACUCCAAUAUCUUUUAUGCCCUAGACUCAGAAGUUGUACACCUUUGCUUCCACUGAAUUUUUUACAGUUAUACCUGCUGGCCCUAUUCGGUGGAGGAGACUACAAAAGGAGCUGAACUCUAGGUGAGGAUCAUUGAAGACUAUCUUGGAAGCUGGUUAGUGCAGCAGCUGUAUCCUCUGUGCCUAUAACAGUGCCUGGCAAGUAAAGGGAGCCCAACAGAUAGUUUUGAACAAUGAAUAAAUUCCACCACUUAACUUUCUAAAAAUAUAUUUCUUUGCAGCCUUUUUUCCUAAACAGAUAAACUAUGUUGUUUCUUAAAAAUUGGAAUUUUUCUUUAGAUAAUUUAUAAUUUAUAAAUGUAAACAUAUAUACUUAAUAAGCAUAUUUUAAAAUAUACUUAGUAUCUUUCUAAAGUUACAUCUUGUUGAUGUUUGAUAUUAUUUCGAUCAUCAUAUCAUCAUUUCCAUUGUUUCUAGAUUUCUUCUCUUACGAAUAUGUUGUGAUGAACACCCUUCUACAUAAACCUUUGAGCAAUCUAAGAUUUUCUUGGAGAGCAUGACGAUGAAUAAGAUCUAAGAUUAUAAAUACUUGAAAUACUUGAUUUAAGUUACCAAAUUGUUUCCAGAAAUAGAAAUAUAUAUUUUAUGUUUCUACCAAUAGUUAGAACUGGACAUGCAUGGAACAACAGACUGGUUCCAAAUAGGAAAA